GCAUUAUACCGCGAAACUGCGAAUGGCUCAUUAAAUCAGUUAUCGUUUAUUUGAUAGCACCUUACUACAUGGAUAACCGUGGUAAUUCUAGAGCUAAUACAUGCUGAAAAUCCCGACUUCGGAAGGGAUGUAUUUAUUAGAUUAAAAACCAAUGCCCUCCGGGGCUCACUGGUGAUUCAUAAUAACUUCUCGAAUCGCAUGGCCUUGCGCCGGCGAUGGUUCAUUCAAAUUUCUGCCCUAUCAACUUUCGACUGCUGGAUCUGGGCCAGCAAUGGUGACAACGGGUAACGGAGGGUUAGGGCUCGACCCCGGAGAAGGAGCCUGAGAAACGGCUACUACAUCCAAGGAAGGCAGCAGGCGCGCAAAUUACCCAAUCCCGACACGGGGAGGUAGUGACAAUAAAUACUGAUACAGGGCUCUUUUGGGUCUUGUAAUUGGAAUGAGUACAAUUUAAAUCCCUUAACGAGGAACAAUUGGAGGGCAAGUCUGGUGCCAGCAGCCGCGGUAAUUCCAGCUCCAAUAGCGUAUAUUAAAGUUGUUGCAGUUAAAAAGCUCGUAGUUGAACCUUGGGCCUGGCCGGCCGGUCCGCCUCACCGCGUGCACUGGUUCGGCCGGGCCUUUUCCUCUGGCGAGCCCCAUGCCCUUCACUGGGCGUGUGGGGGAACCAGGACUUUUACUUUGAAAAAAUUAGAGUGUUCAAAGCAGGCCUAUGCUCGAAUACAUUAGCAUGGAAUAAUAGAAUAGGACGUGCGGUUCUAUUUUGUUGGUUUCUAGGACCGCCGUAAUGAUUAAUAGGGACAGUCGGGGGCAUCAGUAUUCAAUUGUCAGAGGUGAAAUUCUUGGAUUUAUUGAAGACUAACUACUGCGAAAGCAUUUGCCAAGGAUGUUUUCAUUAAUCAGGAACGAAAGUUAGGGGAUCGAAGACGAUCAGAUACCGUCGUAGUCUUAACCAUAAACUAUGCCGACUAGGGAUCGGACGAUGUUAUUUUUUGACUCGUUCGGCACCUUACACGAAAGUACAAGUUUCU
rnacentral:rRNA from 1 species